CCUACGGGAGGCAGCAGUGGGGAAUAUUGGUCAAUGGACGAAAGUCUGAUCCAGCCAAGUAGCGUGAAUGAUGACUGCCCUCUGGGUUGUAAACUUCUUUUAUAUGGGAAUAAAAUGUUCCACGUGUGUGAUUUUGUAUGUACCAUAUGAAUACGGAUCGGCUAACUCCGUGCCAGCAGCCGCGGUAAUACGGAGGAUCCGAGCGUUAUCCGGAUUUAUUGGGUUGAAAGGGACCGUAGGUGGAUUGUUAAGUCAGUUGUGAAAGUUUGCGGCUAAACCGUAAAAUUGCAGUUGAAACUGGCAGGCUUGAGUACAGUAGAGGUGGGCGGAAUUCGUGGUGUAGCGGUGAAAUGCUUAGAUAUCACGAAGAACUCCGAUGGCGAAGGCAGUUCACUGGACUGCAACUGACAUUGAGGCUCGAAAGUGUGGGUAGCAAACAGGAUUAGAUACCCGAGUAGUC
rnacentral:rRNA from 1 species